UGCUUCCAGCUUGCAGUUGAACAAGCCCGAUGCCAGAUCUCGAGGCCUCCUGUAUUGGAGAUUCCCAGAAAAAGCCCUGCCUUCCUGUCAUCUUUCUCAAUUUAUGCUCUUCAUGAUGUUCCUUUCCAGGUCCUCUCUGAUUGGAGGACUCAGAUCUCAAUCAGGACAAGAGAUGGGUCUUCCAGACACCAAGACACCCAGGUGGCAAUCCAGAAUGGCUACAAGACCCCACAUGGACUGUGCCUAGCUGGUGCAAGCAAACAGGAUUCACAUACAAAACAAUAUAAAGCAUCCUAUACAAAAACAGGAGUCACGUACAAAGCACUUACUCCCAAGACUACUGAAUUUAUCCAUGUAUUUCAGUUGGAAUCAUAAGAGAUAUCUCUCUGGAUGAGGAAAUUGUAGCUAAGAAGAAAGAAAAACUCAAGACCAGGGUUGGAACUUUACAUCCAAUCACAAAAAUCCAAAUGGAAAUGCCAAGAGCCCCAUAGUAUACACAUCUCCAAGAGGUUUUAUGGAUGUUCCUGGUGUUUACAUUUUCACCCACUCCUCUCCUUCUUAAUAUUAAUGAGUAUGAAUGACUGAAUGAAUGAAAAGGCCUUUAAAACAUUCAUUAAACAAUAUUUGUCAAGCAAUAGGCUAAGCAUCAGGGAUACAAACAGAAAAGCUAGACAGUCCCUGCUAUCAAAGAAUUCAAAUUCUAAUAUUUGAGGGAGACAACACAUAAAAGCAAGUUUUCCCACUAGGUGGGUGUAAGUCCUGGUAUCUCUCCAUCUUAUUGAAAGGAAUGUAGUUGGUGACUCAUCCAGCUCAUCUAGGCAGUGUGGGUGGCUAUGUGGGGGAGGAGAAAAGUCUGGAAGAGCCAAGCUAAGAACUCUUGGGUAAGGGAGCUGGGGAGUGGGGCAGGGGCUUUAAGUUGUAUCCUGAGGAGAAAAGGCUAAAGGCACAAGUGACCGGAAGAUGCUAAAGCUUGAAGAAAUCGAUCAUUCAUACACUGAGACAUGGAAGAUAAUUGUAAAUCUAUGAAAAGCAAAAGACUGUAGCUGUUAAACUGAAGGUCUACUUCAGACUUCAUCGACCACCUAAAAUUGCAGCCAGGCUGGAACAUGGGUGGUAUGAGUGUGAAAGGUGGCUAGAUACUUGAUGUUCUAUCUCCACAGAAAUUGUUACAGCUGAGAAAGAAUUAGGAAGAAGCAGUCAUUUCAGAUUAAGUACCCUGGCCACUGAGUAGCUGCUUUUCUUUGGUAAAUUUUGCUCUAAGAGUCCACAGCAGGGCUGAAGUUGAGACAGGAAAAUACAACUGUACUAUCCAGGGAGAAGACAUUUCCAUUUAUUUCCCUCUCACCACCUUAUCCUUCUACAUCCCUGAAGAAUACUUGAAUAGAUGGUGGACAAAUGCCAACAGCUCCUGAAGAGAUAGCCUGUAUAACCCCUUCUUUUUGGAAGCUUUCCUGUGAAAUCACAAGCAUGACUGUAUUUUUUUUUUGUCUCUAAUGCGUCAAAAAGUAACUAUUAUUUGUACUGCUUUACAUAUAUAAGCAUGCAUCCCUUUGCUCCAUCUUGGUGAACUAAGAACCCGAUAGACCCCUUUUGUUGGGAGUAUGAAGGGAAGGUGAUCUAUGAGAGACAGGAAUUAGCUGAAGAUUUUCUAAGGAAAGAGGGUGAACAUGGGGUCUAAUUUCCAGCAAUAGUAGUCAUUGCUGUCUGACUGGCCAAAGGAAUUGUUCAUGAUACCUGUUCAACUACAUAGUAAUGUGGAUUCUGAACAGGUAACCUCCAUUAUCUAACUGCCUAAAAAUCUGGCCAUCUCUCUGGAUUGCAUACCAAUAGGCAGUCUGAAUAAAAGAGACUACUUUAGUUAGACUUCUUGAGGC
ensembl:lncRNA